rnacentral:lncRNA from 1 species
GGAGAAGAAAAAUGAUAUAGUUCAGUGACUUGGAUCUACAUAAAGAAAGGAAGAGUGACAGAGAAGGAAUAGAUGAAGAAUAAAGAAGUUCUUCAUGUAUAUUUAUGGGAAAAUUGCUAAGGUGUAGUCUCAAGUCCUAAAAAAGCAAAGUUCAGGAAGUGGACUCCCUGAAGAAACAGGAAAGAGCACAGGAGAUGAGGAACAAACACAGCCAAUGGUGAGGCCCUCAGCAGGGAGCAAGGAGGGGGUGCUGUUGUUAAUAAAAAAAGAAGAAAGAAGAUUUUCAUCUAAAAUGAGAAAAGAGGAGAGAAAACAGCUGCAUUUAUGCAAGAUGGAAUAAAUCCAGUGUUGAAGAUGAAGCCCGCAGUAGCAGGCCAUUCACAUCAACUUGCAAGGAAAAAAUUCACCUUGUUUGUGCUUUAAUUGAAGAGGACUGAUGAUUAACAGCAGAAACAAGAGCCAACAUCACAGACAUCUCAAAUGGUUCAGCUUACACAAUUCUGAAUGAAAAAUUAAAGUUUAACAAACUUUCCACUUGUUGAGUUCCAAAACCAUUGUGUCCACCAAAUCAUCUGCAGACAAAAAAAAGUUUUCAAUGAAAAUUUUAAACAAGUAGGAUCAAGAUCCUGAAGCAUUUUUUAAGAAGAAUUGUAACAGAAAAUGAAACAAUGCUUACCAAUAUUAUCCUGAAGACAAGACAUAAUCAGAGCAAUGGUUACUAAGACAUAGAAGUGGCCCAGUCAAAGCAAAAGGGAACCAGCCAAGAGCAGAGGUCAUGGUAACAAUUUUGGGGGAUUGUCAAGGCAUUUUGCUUGCUGAUUUUUCUGGAAGGCCAAUAAAUGAUAACAUCUGCUUAUUAUGAGAGUGUUGAGAAAGUUAACUAAAGCUUGAGCAGAAAAAAACAAAAAAGUCUGGGAAAGCAUUACUAGAGAGUCCUAUUCCACCAUGACAAUGCUCCUGCUCACUCCUUUCAUCAAACAAGGGAAACUUUGGGAGCAUUUCAGUGGGAAAUUAUUAGGCAUUCACCUUACAGGUGUUAUUUGGUGUCUUCUGACUUCUUUUUGCUGUCUAACCUUAAAAAAAAUCUGUAAGGGGCACCCACUUUUCUUCAGUUACCUCAUGUCAAGAUCCUUAAUUUAAUCGACUGAUCAGUCCCUUUUGCCACAUGAGGUAACAUAUUCACAUUCUCUUCCUUUCUGCAAAUACUUACGGAAUGCCACUAUGUACUUGGCACUAUACUAGACACUUGGGAUAUAGAAGUUAACAGUGACAAUUGGUAAGAAAGACCCCUAGCACCUCUAAAGGAAUAUAAAACAUGAUAUUUCAUAUAAUUACACAUAAAAAUCAC